rnacentral:rRNA from 1 species
ACGGCGGCUGUCUUGUUCACGGUCCUAAGGUAGCAAAAUUCCUUGACAGGUAAGUUCCGUCCAGCAUUAGCGGUGGAACGACUUCCUCACUGUCACUAGCUUGGUCUCAAGGAAAAGCCAAGCUUGAGAUCAGAGAAGUCUUCACCCAAGGUCUGGACAUUAAGA